AUGCAUGCUGUGAAAUUUGGCUACAGAUGGAACAUAGGGGAUGGGAGCAGAACCAGGUUCUGGGAAGAUACUUGGUUUGGCACAUCCCCCCUAGCAGUCCAAUUUUGGCAUAUUUACUCUGUCUGCAAUGAGCUUAACAAAAGUGUUAAUGAAGUUUGGGACGGUCAAUGCCUAAAACUCUCUUUUAGAAGGACCUUUAGUGAUAGUCUCAUGGAACAAUGGUUCCAGUUGGAGGAAAUUGCCAAAAGCAUUACCUUUACUACCGAGUCAGAUGUCCUGAUUUGGCAGCUGGACAAUAAGGGGAAGUAUUCCUCCAGCUCCCUCUAUCAUGUUAUCAACUUUAGAGGGGUUCAACCCGUGUUUAUCCCUGCUGUCUGGAAAUUGAGAGUUCCCCCUAAAAUUCAUGUAUUUCUCUGGCUUCUCUCCAAAAACAAAUUGAUGACUAGGGAUAACCUUAGGAAGAGACACAUCAUCAAACCCCUUGAUUGUGUUUACUGCUUGGAACAAGAGUCUUGUUCUCACCUAUUUUUUGAAUGUAUAGUUGCUAAACAUAUCUGGGCCCACAUUGAGGAAUAUUUCUCUAGUCAGAUUGGCUCAUCCUUCGAAUCUGUCCCAGAUUCUGGAUUGCUACCAAAAAGUGCUCAGUUUUAA
rnacentral:rRNA from 1 species